rnacentral:lncRNA from 1 species
AAAAAACUAAGUGCGCCGCCCGGGAAUCGAACCCGGGUCGCAAGAAUGGGAAUCUUGCAUGAUACCACUACACCAGCGGCGCUGUCUAAGACAGUUGCUGCCCGCGGAGACAAGAGACUGUGACGCGGGAAGUCCUCCGGGCGUGCGCCGCCGCUGGCGCCGGGCUCAGCGCAAGGGAGCUGGCGACUGCAUAGGAGGACCCAGCUGGCGGGACCGCGAGGGUAAGAGUCUCGCGGUGCCCCCCAGUGCCGGAGGGGAAGGAGCGGGCGUGAAGGACGCGAGCUGGAGGACAGUCUCGAUUCGGGCCUGAGCCGUGGAAGCCGUUGGCCUUCGCACAGGAAAGAGGAGCCCGA